rnacentral:lncRNA from 1 species
GUUGGCUGACCCUACAAUGGGGUAAGCCUAUAAUGGGGUGACCCUAUAGCUGAGUGACCCCAUGGUUGGGUCUCCCUAUGGCUGGAUUCCCCUUCAAUGGGGUGACCCCAUAGUGGUUGGCUGACCCUAUAAUGGGGUGACCCCAUAGGGGUUGGGUGCCCCUUCAAUGGGGUGACCCCAUAGGGGUUGGGUGCCCCUUCAAUGGGGUGACCCCAUAAUUGGGUCUCCCUAUGGCUGGAUAACCUUACAAUGGGGCGACCCUAUAGCACAGAGACCCCAUGGUUGGGUGCCCCCCUCACUGUGCCCAUGGAUUGUUGUGUCAUUGUAUCAUUGUGUCGUUGUAUCGUUGUGUCAUUGUAUCGUUGUAUCGUUGUAUCAUUGUAUCGUUGUAUCAUUGUAUCAUUGUAUUGUUGUGUUGUUGUAUCGCUGUAUCAUUGUGUUGUUGUGUUGUUGUAUCAUUGUAUCAUUGUGUCAUUGUAUCAUUGUGUCAUUGUAUCAUUGUGUCAUUGUGUCAUUGUGUCAUUGUGUCAUUGUAUCAUUGUGUCAUUGUAUCAUUGUGUCAUUGUGUCAUUGUAUCAUUGUGUUGUUGUAUCAUUGUGUCAUUGUAUCAUUGUGUCAUUGUAUCAUUGUAUCA